UGACACAAGUGGCACAUCACGGCCAUGGGAUCUCAGCAUUCCACCUGUGAUCACCCCUCCUUUUGCAGGCAAAAGAAAGAAGAUGACAGGGAGGAUUUGCUGGCUGAACGAGAGCAGGAAGAAGCCAUUGCUCAGUUCCCAUAUGUGGAGUUCACCGGGAGAGAUAGCAUCACCUGUCUCACGUGCCAAGGGACAGGCUACAUUCCAACAGAGCAAGUAAAUGAGUUGGUGGCAUUGAUCCCACACAGUGAUCAGAGAUUGCGCCCUCAGAGAACUAAGCAGUAUGUCCUCCUUCCAUCCUGCUCUGUCUCCUGGUAUCCGGUUUGGUGGUUUUCUUCCUGUUUCCACACUCAGUCCUUGUGGAUGAUGACGGCAUCAAAGUUGUGAAAGUCACAUUUAAUAAACAGGACUCCCUGGUAAUCCUUGCCAUCACGGCCACCCUGAAAAUUAAGAACUCUAACUUCUAUCCCGUGGCAGUGACCAGCCUGUCCAGCCAGAUUCAGUACAUGAACACAGUGGUUGGCACAUAUGUGACUACUAAUGUCUCCCUCAUUCCACCUCGGAGUGAGCAACUAGUGAAUUUUACCGGGAAGGCUGAGAUGGGAGGACCAUUUUCCUACGUGUACUUCUUCUGCACAUUACCGGAUAUCCUGGUGCACAACAUAGUGAUCUUCAUGCGAACUUCAGUGAAGAUUUCAUACAUUGGCCACAUGACCCAGAGCUCCUUGGAGACACAUCACUAUGUGGAUUGUGGAGCAAAUGCCACAGCUGUUUAGCAACUGCUCUCGGUUCUUCCUCAGCAGCACCUGUAGAAGAGAGCGCAGCAACUGUUCCCAAGGCCUUAGUUCCGCACCUACCCC